rfam:{defective interfering RNA DI15} [cucumber necrosis virus CNV, Genomic RNA, 622 nt].
GGUCUGCGAGAAGGUCGGGGUUGCCCACCGUUUAGGGUAUGAUUUAUCAUACUACAGUGGUGCGAAGCUCUGUACUUACACGCGGGCU